UUUUUUGUGCAAUAAAUUAGUUUGGAACCAGGUCAGAAUGGAAACAUAGCAGCCUUAACAAAUUUAAUUUAUGUGCACUUUUUU
rnacentral:SRP_RNA from 1 species